GGAAUAUUGGACAAUGGGCGAAAGCCUGAUCCAGCAAUGCCGCGUGAGUGAUGAAGGCCUUAGGGUUGUAAAGCUCUUUUACCAGGGAUGAUAAUGACAGUACCUGGAGAAUAAGCUCCGGCUAACUCCGUGCCAGCAGCCGCGGUAAUACGGAGGGAGCUAGCGUUGUUCGGAAUUACUGGGCGUAAAGCGCACGUAGGCGGAUUUGUAAGUAGGGGGUGAAAUCCCCAGGCUCAACCUGGGAACUGCCUUCUAGACUGCAAGUCUGGAGAUCAGGAGAGGCGAGUGGAAUACCGAGUGUAGAGGUGAAAUUCGUAGAUAUUCGGUGGAACACCAGUGGCGAAGGCGACUCGCUGGACUGAUACUGACGCUGAGGUGCGAAAGCGUGGGGAGCAAAC
rnacentral:rRNA from 1 species